rnacentral:lncRNA from 1 species
GGAAUAUACUGGCUGCAGAGUCCUAAUUUCAAUUCAGUGGAAGAAACCUUCACUAAAGGCCUGGGACUUAGCUUACAGAUAUAGAGAAAAACAAAGUCAGAUUCUCAAGUUACUGCAUUCUCAUGUAUCCUGCUUUCUACUUGGAUAAUUAUUAUGGACUGAAUUGUGUUCCCCUAAAAUUUGUAGUCUGAAGCCCUAACCUUCAAUGUGACUGUAUUGGGAGAUAAGGCCUUUAAAGAAGUGAUUAUGGUUAAAUGAGAUUGUAAAAGUGAGGCCCUAAUCUAAUAGGACUGGUAUCCUUCUAAGAACAGGAGAAGACACCAGAGAUCUAUCUCUCUCCAUGCACAGAGGAAAGGCCAUAUGAGGACACAGCAAGAAGACGCCAUCUGUAAGCCACGGAGAGGGGCCUGAGAAGAAACCAGCCCUGCUGGUACCCUGAUCUUGGACUUUCAGCCUCCAGAACUGCAAGAAAAUUUCGUUAAGCCACCCAGUUUGUGGUAUUUUGUUAUGGCAGCCUGUGCAGACUGAGACAAUCAUGAAGUGUUAAUUUAAUCAGUAAGAAUAAACCAACCUGAAA